rnacentral:sRNA from 2 species
GUAAAUGUUUUCUAGGGUUCCGUAACAAAGUAUGUUAGCCUGGACCAAGAGGAAACUCGCAGCUCUGCUGUGUCACGGAAGGAUAAAAGCCUGGGAGAU